UUAACCAGUAAUAUAUGUAUUACAUGUCUGUUUCUGUAGUGGAGUACAUGAUCAGGUCCUUAAAGGUAAAUAUCUGUGUAAUGGAGUUCAUGAUCAGGUCCUUAAAGGUAAAUAUCUGUGUAAUGGAGUACAUGAUCAGGUCCUUUAGGCUCAUUGUCUCGGUGACAGAGUUCAUGAUCAGGUCCUUGAAGGUCAUUGUCCCUAUAGGCACUUUCACAUCGAAGUUCUGUUACCUGGUUCCUGACUACAGGUUCCUCGGCCACGGACUUUUGAAGCUCCUGGUCACAUUCUCGUGUUGUUUUCACACACACAACAGGACUGGGACCUUUCUGCUAAACAAGCAUGGGUGAGCGCAAAACUCACAAGUUUGGAGAGUGAACAAGUUGUUUUGUUUAGUUAUUUGUUGGUUAUUAUUUAGUUAUUGGAGAGGAACAAUUGGGAUUAAAAUGGGAUACGACCUUUAAUUUGCAUAUUAUUAGGACAGCCAGUGGGGUGACAUAGUGGUGCAGUGGUUUGCAGUGUCUCCUCGCAGCUCUAGGACCUGGGGUGACCCCACCAGGGUUCCAUGUAUGCGGAGUUUGCAUGUUCUCAUUCUGGGGUUUCCUCUGCUCUGGUUUCCCACCACAGUCCAAAGAAAGACUAACUGAAGUUGCUAGGUUUCCCAUAGGUGUACAUGCACGUG